ACAGAAUCAGGGAAUUUGGACAUUGGCCACACCACAAUAGAGAACAUGGGCUGGAGGGGUAGGACAUGGGGGUAGGUGGUGACAUGUCAGGCAGAGAGCAGUGGAGUCCCCCAUCCUGAAAUCAAAUUUACAAACAAUGUCUCCAAGGAAUGGAAAAAUGGAAAUCCAAACCCAAAGAAGUCACUUUGGUUGUUGACAGAGAAGACACAAGAUCACCAAACAGGAAAUAAAGAUAAUACAUCUUAUGAUAAAAACAAUAGUUUAGAGUGAUGCAUGAAGAGGCACACUAACCACUGAGGGAGGGUGUCGCAAUGGUCCGGGACAGUAAGGAGAUUCAGCAAAAGAUUCAGCACCUCCUUGUUAGCACCCU
rnacentral:lncRNA from 1 species